rnacentral:tRNA from 1 species
UCCCUUACAGUCCAGUGGUUAGGACUCCACACUUUGACUGCUGAGGGCCUGGGUUCGAUCCCUGGUGAGGGAA